rnacentral:rRNA from 1 species
GACAGAGGGUGCAAACGUUGUUCGGAAUUACUGGGCGUAAAGCGCGUGUAGGCGGCCCUGCAAGUCGGGUGUGAAAUCCCACGGCUCAACCGUGGAAGUGCACUCGAAACUGCAGGGUUAGAGUCCUGGAGAGGAAGGUGGAAUGCUUGGUGUAGAGGUGAAAUUCGUAGAUAUCAAGCGGAACACCGGUGGCGAAGGCGGGUCUACUGGGGCCGGUAUUGACGCUGAGGCGCCGAAAGCCAGGGGAGCGAAACGGGA